AGCGAACGCUGGCGGUAGGCCUAACACAUGCAAGUCGAACGGCAGCACAGGAGAGCUUGCUCUCUGGGUGGCGAGUGGCGGACGGGUGAGGAAUACAUCGGAACCUACUCUGUCGUGGGGGAUAACGUAGGGAAACUUACGCUAAUACCGCAUACGACCUACGGGUGAAAGCAGGGGACCUUCGGGCCUUGCGCGAUUGAAUGAGCCGAUGUCGGAUUAGCUAGUUGGCGGGGUAAAGGCCCACCAAGGCGACGAUCCGUAGCUGGUCUGAGAGGAUGAUCAGCCACACUGGAACUGAGACACGGUCCAGACUCCUACGGGAGGCAGCAGUGGGGAAUAUUGGACAAUGGGCGCAAGCCUGAUCCAGCCACACCGCGUGGGUGAAGAAGGCCUUCGGGUUGUAAAGCCCUUUUGUUGGGAAAGAAAUCCAGCUGGCUAAUACCCGGUUGGGAUGACGGUACCCAAAGAAUAAGCACCGGCUAACUUCGUGCCAGCAGCCGCAGUAA
rnacentral:rRNA from 1 species